rnacentral:rRNA from 1 species
GUUGAUCCUGGCUCAGGAUGAACGCUGGCGGUCUGCUUAACACAUGCAAGUCGAACGCAACCUUCGGGUUGAGUGGCGGACGGGUGAGUAACGCGUGAGAAUCUGCCUUGGGGUCGGGGACAACCACUGGAAACGGUGGCUAAUACCGGAUAAGCCUUUGGGUAAAAGAUUUAUUGCCCCAAGAGGAGCUCGCGUCUGAUUAGCUAGUUGGUGAGGUAAGAGCUCACCAAGGCAGCGAUCAGUAGCUGGUCUGAGAGGACGAUCAGCCACACUGGGACUGAGACACGGCCCAGACUCCUACGGGAGGCAGCAGUGGGGAAUUUUCCGCAAUGGGCGAAAGCCUGACGGAGCAAGACCGCGUGAGGGAGGAAGGCUCUUGGGUUGUAAACCUCUUUUCUCAGGGAAGAAGCUCUGACGGUACCUGAGGAAUCAGCCUCGGCUAACUCCGUGCCAGCAGCCGCGGUAAUACGGAGGAGGCAAGCGUUAUCCGGAAUUAUUGGGCGUAAAGCGUCCGCAGGUGGCGAUUCAAGUCUGCUGUCAAAGCACGGGGCUUAACUCCGUUAAGGCAGUGGAAACUGAAUAGCUAGAGUGCCGUAGGGGUAGAGGGAAUUCCCGGUGUAGCGGUGAAAUGCGUAGAGAUCGGGAAGAACAUCGGUGGCGAAAGCGCUCUACUGGACGGCAACUGACACUCAGGGACGAAAGCUAGGGAAGCGAAUGGGAUUAGAUACCCCAGUAGUCCUAGCUGUAAACGAUG